rnacentral:rRNA from 1 species
AACGAACGCUGGCGGCAGGCUUAACACAUGCAAGUCGAACGAGAAGCUUCUUCGGAAGUGGACAGUGGCAGACGGGUGAGUAACGCGUGGGAAUUUGCCCAGAGGUUUGGAACAACCAUUGGAAACGAUGGCUAAUACCGGAUAAGCCCUUCGGGGGAAAGAUUUAUCGCCUUUGGAUAAGCACGCGUAAGAUUAGCUAGUUGGUGAGGUAACGGCUCACCAAGGCGACGAUCUUUAGCUGGUCUGAGAGGAUGAUCAGCCACAUUGGGACUGAGACACGGCCCAGACUCCUACGGGAGGCAGCAGUGGGGAAUAUUGCGCAAUGGGGGAAACCCUGACGCAGCCAUGCCGCGUGAGUGACGAAGGCCUUAGGGUUGUAAAGCUCUUUCGCUAGGGAAGAUAAUGACGGUACCUAGUAAAGAAGCCCCGGCUAACUCCGUG